AACGCACAUUGCGCCCCUUGGUAUUCCAUGGGGCAUGCCUGUUCGAGCGUCAUUUGUACCUUCAAGCACUGCUUGGUGUUGGGUGUUUGUCCCGCGUUUUGCGUGGACUCGCCUCAAAGCAAUUGGCAGCCGGCGUACUUGCCUGGGAGCGCAGCACAUUUUGCGCGUCUCGGCUGGAACGCUUGCGUCCAUGAAGCCUAUACUUUUGCUCUUGACCUCGGAUCAGGUAGGGAUACCCGCUGAACUUAA
rnacentral:misc_RNA from 1 species